AGGGGAGUCUAGAGGCGCUAAAGUGCGCCGCGUGUGGCUGCCACCGGAAUUUCCACCGGCGUGCUGGCUUCUUCUGUGGUGACCGCUGCCGCCCGCUCCUCCUCAAGGCGGCUCCGUCGCCGUCCGGCUUCCCUGUCUUCCUCACGCCACCGCCGCACCCGAUGCCGCUGCCCUUCCACGCGAUCCGCCCUCCCCCGCCCGCCGCCGCCGCCGCCAGCGGCCUAUCAAGAAGAUCGGAGCAGAGUCGGGUCGGAGACGCCGCCCCAGCGGGAGGAGCCGGCGGCGGCGGAGGGGCCGCGCGGAGCUGUUCGGAAGCGGUAUCGGACCAAAUUCACC
rnacentral:lncRNA from 1 species